rnacentral:rRNA from 1 species
GUGGGGAAUAUUGGACAAUGGGGGGAACCCUGAUCCAGCCAUGCCGCGUGUGUGAAGAAGGCCUUUUGGUUGUAAAGCACUUUAAGCGAGGAGGAGGCUACCGAGAUUAAUACUCUUGGAUAGUGGACGUUACUCGCAGAAUAAGCACCGGCUAACUCUGUGCCAGCAGCCGCGGUAAUACAGAGGGUGCAAGCGUUAAUCUGAUUUACUGGGCGUAAAGCGCGCGUAGGUGGCCAAUUAAGUCAAAUGUGAAAUCCCCGAGCUUAACUUGGGAAUUGCAUUCGAUACUGGUUGGCUAGAGUAUGGGAGAGGAUGGUAGAAUUCCAGGUGUAGCGGUGAAAUGCGUAGAGAUCUGGAGGAAUACCGAUGGCGAAGGCAGCCAUCUGGCCUAAUACUGACACUGAGGUGCGAAAGCAUGGGGAGCAAACAGGAUUAGAAACCCUGGUAGUCC